GCGCGGUUAGUAUAGUGGUUAAUACUCUCGCUCCCCAAACGCAAGUGCCGGGACUCUAAGAGGUGAUCGAACGCUCAUGUGAUUAUGCGAGCGACCCGGGUUCGAAUCCUGGACUGCGCA